rnacentral:rRNA from 1 species
GACGAACGCUGGCGGCGUGCCUAAUACAUGCAAGUCGAACGAGUGGCGGACGGGUGAGUAACACGUGGGAACCUACCCAUCAGAGUGGGAUAACACUUGGAAACAGGUGCUAAUACCGCAUACUGAUGUAUGGACCCGCGGUGCAUUAGCUAGUUGGUGAGGUAAUGGCUAACCUAGGCGACGAUCCCUAGCUGGUCUGAGAGGAUGACCAGCCACACUGGAACUGAGACACGGUCCAGACUCCUACGGGAGGCAGCAGUGGGGAAUAUUGCACAAUGGGCGCAAGCCUGAUGCAGCCAUGCCGCGUGUGUGAAGAAGGCCUUCGGGUUGGAAAGCACUUUCAGCGAGGAGGCGUUACUCGCAGAAGAAGCACCGGCUAACUCCGUGCCAGCAGCCGCGGUAAUUC